GCGCCAGUAGCUCAGUGGAUAGAGCGUUUGCCUCCGGAGCAAAAGGUCGGUGGUUCGAGCCCACUCUGGCGUA
rnacentral:tRNA from 1 species